AACGAACGCUGGCGGCAGGCUUAACACAUGCAAGUCGAGCGCGCCCUUCGGGGUGAGCGGCGGACGGGUGAGUAACGCGUGGGAACGUGCCCUUCUCUGCGGAAUAGCCUCGGGAAACUGAGAGUAAUACCGCAUACGCCCUUUGGGGGAAAGAUUUAUCGGAGAAGGAUCGGCCCGCGUUGGAUUAGGUAGUUGGUGGGGUAAUGGCCCACCAAGCCGACGAUCCAUAGCUGGUUUGAGAGGAUGAUCAGCCACACUGGGACUGAGACACGGCCCAGACUCCUACGGGAGGCAGCAGUGGGGAAUCUUAGACAAUGGGGGCAACCCUGAUCUAGCCAUGCCGCGUGAGUGAUGAAGGCCUUAGGGUUGUAAAGCUCUUUCAGCUGGGAAGAUAAUGACGGUACCAGCAGAAGAAGCCCCGGCUAACUCCGUG
rnacentral:rRNA from 1 species